rnacentral:rRNA from 1 species
CCUACGGGGGGCAGCAGUGAGGAAUAUUGGUCAAUGGACGAGAGUCUGAACCAGCCAAGUAGCGUGAAGGAUGACUGCCCUAUGGGUUGUAAACUUCUUUUAUAAAGGAAUAAAACGAGGCACGUGUGCCUUUUUGCAUGUACUUUAUGAAUAAGGAUCGGCUAACUCCGUGCCAGCAGCCGCGGUAAUACGGAGGAUCCGAGCGUUAUCCGGAUUUAUUGGGUUUAAAGGGAGCGUAGAUGGGUUGUUAAGUCAGUUGUGAAAGUUUGCGGCUCAACCGUAAAAUUGCAAUUGAUACUGGCAGUCGUGAGUACAGUUGAGGUAGGCGGAAUUCGUUGUGUAGCGGUGAAAUGCUUAGAUAUCACGAAGAACUCCGAUUGCGAAGGCAGCUUACUAAACUGCAACUGACAUUGAUGCUCGAAAGUGUGGGUAUCAAACAGGAUUAGAUACCCUGGUAGUC